rnacentral:tRNA from 1 species
AUUUUUUUAAUAUAAUGAGUAUAUCUGACUUCCAAUCAGAAAGUCUAACUUUUAGAAAAAAUA